rnacentral:rRNA from 1 species
GGGAAUCUUCCACAAUGGACGAAAGUCUGAUGGAGCAACGCCGCGUGAGUGAAGAAGGGUUUCGGCUCGUAAAGCUCUGUUGGUAGUGAAGAAAGAUAGAGGUAGUAACUGGCCUUUAUUUGACGGUAAUUACUUAGAAAGUCACGGCUAACUACGUGCC